GGUAAUGUGGCUGAGUUAAGCGAUAAACUGUAAAUUUAUUGACGAGAUUAAAUUUCCUUUACCA
rnacentral:tRNA from 1 species